AGCAGCACGUUCUGUAUAUGCGUGUCAUUUUAGGCUAUUUUCACCUUUGAGUUUAUUAUGAAAUCAUUAAAUGUCAACCAGACAGAAAACUUGAAAGUAAAGUAUACCGCAAAUGUUUCUUUAACAGUCUUGUUUGCUAAAAGAGAGGCGAAAAGUAAGACAGGGAAAACAACGAAAGUGUGUACCCUCGACAGCUAAGAAAUACAAUAUCCACUUUAUAUCUUACGAGCAUACAGCGCAUACCGCUCGGACAGGUAUUUUGGGGUCUUGUACCGUAAUGGUGACCAAAAAACGUGGUAAAAUAUAUAAAAAUAAUUUCCUCUUUUUUUCCUUCUUUUUAAGCAGGUGCCGUUUAAGGCAAGGAAAAUUGCGCACGAAAACUUUAAAUCGUAGAUGGUCGAUGGUGAAAGUGAGAUAAACUUCAGAUGAGAGAUCGAUCUACUUAAGGAAAAGGAUUCGGGGUUAGGGGACGAUGUCAGUCAUAUUCUGAAAAUGCAGACUAUGGAGGCGGAAGUGCGUAUCCAAUAACCAAAACAACAGUGGGACUUCAUCAUCAAGAAGGCUUAUGUGAACUUUUGGCACCGUGGCCCUACUCAGCACCUACACCGCCGCCAGCUUCUAUUUUACUUAUUCAACUCAUUUUAAAGCCAUGGAGGACUUAUUAAUGUGAAACACUGUCACUGUAGAUUUAGUAAAUAUUGUCUAGAGGUCAUAACUAUUGUCCUAAGAAAAAAUAAAAGCAAGAUAACGAGAAAAUUGCUCAACAAAAAUUCGAAGAUUUGCAGAAGCGUGAGAACUGAGCGUAAAAUCUGAGAAAGUUUCACACGUUUCGUUUCUUCCCUAAAUAACUGUAAACUUUGAGAGACCGAAAACUUACAGGCCGAAGUCUAACUCUUUUGAAAUGACAAUAAGUAAAAAUUUAAGUUAAAGGAUUUCUCAUUAUGAUACAUUCUUUAUAUUUGUGUUCAAAAUAUAGUAGAUGUAGUGUAAAAUUAUUUUAAUAACUAAGUAAGAGGUUCUAUAGUUAAGAGAGUAAAGUAUUGGAACAUUGUUAUGGACAAUUGGACAUCCGGGAACCCAACAUGGCAGCCUGGUAGAGCUGCAUGUCUGCUCCUAGCAAAAAAUUCCAUUCUGGUGUAGAUUAAGACCGUGCAGCGUGUAUGCAGCGCUCCCACAGGACCGUCUCACAUUAACAAACCAGCAGGAUGGAGAGCGCAGGGAACAUCGGUUCCCGGCGGAGGGAAGGGAAAAAGUAUGCUGUGGAAGAUGAAGCAUUAGAUCGGAUUGCUAAAGAGAUCUGCUGUGACAUCUUCAGUAAUUUCAGAGAGGACAAAAUUCUUUUCUGAUGACCUCUUCCAAGUUUGAAUAGAGGAAAAAUGAUUUCAACGAAUUCCUCUCGAGCUUCAGUCCAGCGUUGUCUGCUGUGCUUUUAUCCUUUCACAUGCUACUGUGUAGGCUACUGAUUUUCUUUUGACGAAUUGUUUGUGGAUCUUGAAGCCACUUGGUAAAUUUACCCCUGAUUGAGAAUCCCUGCUCUUAGAAGAAUUUUAAGCAGUGGCCAGUCAAUCACAUUAGUAGUAAAUGUCAUCUGUAAUUAAUAACUUAUAAAAUUAAAGGUAAUGUAAUAUAUGCAGUAUGUGGAUGAGUUUUCGAUAAAAUUUGUCAUAGUAAACUUAUCCUCAGCAUUUGCUCUGAAGCUAAUAGAUAUCAAAAUUUUGUCAGUCAGCUUCCAAUUCUCUCAAGGAAAUUUACAAACUGGUAGUAAAUUGGAAGAAUGAUAAAAUUAUUGGUGAGACUACCUAAUGCAUGUGGAUUUUUUUAGACAUCUUAGUUGGAAAGCUUAAAUUUAAUCAACUAAAAGCUAAAAGAUUUUCAUAAGUAACAUGGGGUGAUAACAGGUCAACCUUCAUGUCAUGAAGCAGCAGUUCUACCAAUAUCUGCCUAAAGACUUUAAAUUCAUUUCAUUAUUGAUUCUGAAUAUGCACUACAGCUUAAAAAUCUUAUAGCAAAUCUAGUGAGGCUGUUUAAAGUGCUGUUAACAUUUUGUUACCCACAUAUAUACUUCCUUAGCUUAAAAGAUAAUGCUGUGGUUUUUACACUUUAUGUGUACCUGACAGAUGUUUUUGGUCAUUUAUCUUACUAUUUAAUUCAAUUUAUACAAUUGUACAAUCGUGAUAUUUGUUUCAGUUUAUGCAGUUAUGCAACCAUGUGAUAUUUGUCAUAUUGGUCACCAGUGAAAGGAACUUUGCCAGUUGGUGUAGUACUGAUUUAUUUCAUUUUUGUUUUUAAUUUUUUACUGAGGAAUGAAUAUUAGCUUGUCAAAGUAAAUUUGAAUACAUCUUUUUAUUAUAAUGUUACAUCUUAAAAUUAUUAAUCAUCAACAGAAACCAUCCUUUUUUAUAAUGCAGGCACAAAAUGUGUGAAUUUUCAUAUCCCCUUUUUGUAUUUUCUUUUAUUUAGACAAGGUAUGUACCUAACAUCUGUGCAGGCUCUUGCACCCAGAUCUCAUGCAGUAAAGGCUAGGAUUUUACUUUUUUUUGGGCAGUGAUCUACUAUUUUCAAGCAUCACAUCAUUGUGCUUCACAGGACUUAACAAUUUUUCUUGGCUGAAUCAUUUAGCUUCUAAUUUGAAGAUGAACAUCCUCUUUUAGGAGCAUGUUCCCCCCUCUGAAUAGUGAUUCAGGCCAAGGCAUCCUGAAGGUCAGUAGGAAGUGCCUUAUCUCCUAUGGAGUACUUUAGCUUUUGCAGUCUCUUUGACAUAUCAACUACAUCUAAGUAACUGUCUUGUCAGUUGUGUGAGAAGUUAAUCACUUGUGUUUUUCUUGUACAGUUUCACUAUGUUUCAGUGCUGAAUUGCUAUAAAUUUCUUCAUAGUUUUGUCAUUAUGGCUUCCAAUAUUUAACUGGUUGACUCCCAGCAAAGGUGAAGUGCAAGGUCACACCAUUAACAAACCUUGUGGCUUCAGUAAGGUGAUUGCCAUUUCCAGAUGUCUUCCGUUCCUUAAAAGUGUUUCCACUGUUUUUCUUCAAGUCAGCAUUUGAUACUAACUUUAGCCUUGGAAGUGGACAUGACCUAACUGACCCACAACACCAAAAAUCUCUUUCAGCUAAUGUUUUCAAGUGGAACCAAAGUAAACCAAUCAUCAAAAUGAAAAAGGAGAUUUUUUUGCUUUGUUUUGUUUCAGCCAAAGGCAAAAUGAUGUUUGAAGAUGCACCAAGGUAUGGAACACCUCCAUGUUCAGGUUGAGUUGAUCCUGUCCAGGGAAUAGAAUUAUGCAUAUGACUUCCAUAAUCUGCAGGUACUGGUUCUUGAAACCUUACUUUUGUAUAGGUGUUUCAUGCUGUGCCUUCCUUUGGAAGGUACCGUCUACUUAUUGAUGCAAAUAUUGUGUUCAUUGGAAGUUCUUCGUUUUUUCUCAAAUGAUGUACAUCUGGUAUCAUCUUGGGGAGCUCAUCAUUGUUUACUUCAUUGUUAUCUGUUAUUUGUAGGUUUGAUUUAUAGUCUCAUCUAUUUCUGCUCAUCACCAUAGCAAUAUACCUUUUCCAAUCAAGACAUGUCUGAGGAGUUCUGAUUAUGGUGAAUUGAAUAGUAUUCCUGACCAAGUUCCUCCCAACUAAGAUUUGUUUGUCUAUAUUUUUCUGUGUAGCACAGAGAUUCAGCUGAUGGAUUAUUUAAUUUAAAAUUUCUAAAGUGAAACACUUCAUGAAAUAACACAUGAAGUUUUUUUAAUAUAUCGCAAAGAAAUUAUUCCCCAGAGGCUUUGGCAUUACUUAGGAUAAAAGUUGGUAUUGGCAAGAGUAACUUAUUGAAUCUUCUUGUCCAUAGAAUGUGCUUUAAAGGCUGGGAUGUUUUGGUUAUAGUAGUGUUUGAGGAAGUUGAAGGAAUGUGAAUAACCUCUUAAUUAUCAGGAACUUUAGAAGCAGCACUUUCUCUCUUUCUUUAAAUCUUCAGCUGAAACCCUUUGAGGACUAAUUAUAGGAAAAGGUGAUGAAUGAAUAUGAGAGAAUAUAAAAGAUCGAUACACCAGAAUUCAGGAGACAUCAACAGAAGGCAGGAAUGGAUUUGCUCCUUGCUAAAGCAUUUGGAGGUCAGAAGAUUCCAUAACUGCAUUAAUUCCUCAUAUAAGCUGUCACAAAAAUAAAAUUCCUAGCAAACUUAGUAUGUAGUGUUAACGCUGAUACUAGGAAAUGACACACAGGGAUGUAGCAGCAGUCUGCUGAGUGUUGUGUGUAAGAAGAGCUAGGUUAGGUAAAGAAUAGUGCAGAGGAUGUUUGUCGUUGCAACAGGCAUAAUGAACUGUCUUUAUGUCUAUGCUGUAAGUCAAUGUUAGAAAAUAUUUCUGCAGGAUUCCAACUUUUUAGUUAUUUUUUCAUUAGUAAUCCUGCCUUCUACUAUGGCCAACAGUAUUGGCAAUAGUUACAUGCUUGAAAUGAUAAUUAAAUCAUAUCAUCAGUGACAAGGAUGUACUGUACUGAAGUCUUUCAACAAACAAU